GUUCUACUCCUUCCGUCCGAAAAUACUUGUCAUCAAAAUGGAUAAAAAAAGAUGUAUUUUCUUUUGAUGACAAGUAUUUUCGGACGGAGGGAGUAGUAU
rfam:Triticum urartu cultivar G1812 contig861935, whole genome shotgun sequence.